CAGUCAUACUGGCUUUUUCUAGUGUGAGCUCUCUGAUGACAUUGAAGACUACUGCUCCUUGUAAAAGAUUUUCCACAAUCACUACAUUUAUAAGCCUUUUCUCCUGUAUGAACUAUCUGAUGAGUACGAAGGGCAGUGCUCCAGGUAAAAGAUUUCACACAUUCGCUGCAUUUGUAAGGCUUUUCUCCAGAGUGAACUCUCUGAUGAAUACGAAGGUUGGUGUUAGUGG